UUUGAUCAGUUUUUUUGUUUUUUUUUUGCGCCAUGGACCUUCCUUGUAGCCGCUGUUGAUUGCAGCAUGAUUCCUGUUGAUCCAGGGGGCAGAUGGAACUCGAGCUACCAAAACGCACACAAGGUGUUCGACCAUAUGGUUCAGUAGGUGAAUUACGAAAAUUUUCUCUUAUUUUACAUUAAUAGGUACCUGAUGCCUGACUGUGUUUUUUUCCCUAAUUAGCUUAUCCUCUGAUGCUAUUUGAUCAAGUUUUUAGUGACACGAUUGAAGCAUUAAGGGUUUCCUAUGAGAUGAACCCAUUUGUGUAGCUUUUGCAACUACAAGCAUGGGCUAUGCAAUAAGCUAUGGACCUGGUACCUUAUAUGAAUAUAUAUGAUUCAUAUUUUGCUAUUUCAUUACAUUUUUUGUUGACAGAUAUUAUGAUUUUUGAUUACUGAAUUGCAUUUCGUAUGCAUUUCUGGCGGCAUCUUCCAAUGUUCAUGUACCUGUUGAAAUUUUUUUUUUCUUAUCCAAUUUCUAUUCCCCAUGCAGCCAAGAGGUCCACUAUAUUUACACACUUUUGCAGAACAAAAUAAUUAAUUU
rnacentral:lncRNA from 1 species